rfam:Dendroctonus ponderosae Seq01000139, whole genome shotgun sequence.
UAGUGCAUUGGUAGCUACGAGCCAAGGGCGGUAGCAUA